UUGUAUUUAAAACCCCACUCUUAUAAAUUGAAUCAUUUUAUAUUAUGUAUGUAAUAAAUAAAGAUCACUUUCAACAACGGAUCUCUUGGCUCUCGCAUCGAUGAAGAACGUAGCGAAGUGCGAUAAGUAAUGUGAAUUGCAGAAUUCCGUG
rnacentral:rRNA from 1 species